UAGGGUCUCGUAGGUGACCUGCGGAGGGACAUUACACAAAUAUGAAGGCGGGCUGGAACCUCUCGGGGUUACAGCCUUGCUGAAUUAUUCACCCUUGUCUUUUGCGUACUUCUUGUUUCCUUGGUGGGUUCGCCCACCACUAGGACAAACAUAAACCUUUUGUAAUUGCAAUCAGCGUCAGUAACAAAUUAAUAAUUACAACUUUCAACAACGGAUCUCUUGGUUCUGGCAUCGAUGAAGAACGCAGCGAAAUGCGAUAAGUAGUGUGAAUUGCAGAAUUCAGUGAAUCAUCGAAUCUUUGAACGCACAUUGCGCCCUUUGGUAUUCCAAAGGGCAUGCCUGUUCGAGCGUCAUUUGUACCCUCAAGCUUUGCUUGGUGUUGGGCGUCUUGUCUCUAGCUUUGCUGGAGACUCGCCUUAAAGUAAUUGGCAGCCGGCCUACUGGUUUCGGAGCGCAGCACAAGUCGCACUCUCUAUCAGCAAAGGUCUAGCAUCCAUUAAGCCUUUUUUUCAACUUUUGACCUCGGAUCAGGUAGGGAUACCCGCUGAACUUAAGCAUAUCAA
rnacentral:rRNA from 1 species